AUGUCCGCAGCAACACUUCACGCUUUAGGAUAUAUUGGCGAUGUGCAAGACCUAGCUGUGGUGAAACAAUAAUUACAAAUCGGUUUGACAUUAAUCAUUCAAAUCCUGAUAUUGAUAUUCAAAGACAACCUCUUGGGGAUCACACACAUGAAUCCGAUGAUAACCAAAUUAGUCGCCGACAAUUUGUUGAUGAAACUACUGCAUUGAUUAGAAGUGAUCCAACUCUUACUAUAAGGAGAGCAUAUGACAUUGUUUCAGACAGACACCACCAUUCACCAGAUAUACAUGUACAUGUACCUGCAUUUAAAAGCAUCAGAAGCCGGCUUCGACGAGCCCGUUUGGCACACCCAUUUAGAAUUUAUCAACCAAUACCUAUGGCUAGUCAAAUUACUGAUGAUCAAGGUGAAAUAGAAAGCAGCGAACAAGUUGAGAUUAGAAUGGAUAGUUUGAAGUUACUUGUGAUGAAUGCAAGACAAGUGGUUCAGGUUUGUAAUGAUGGAGAGACAUGCCUUACUGGAGAUAACAUGAAAAGCCUGGCCAUAAUACAACAGAAUGACACAGAUGGUGUUGACAUCGUAGUUGGAAGAGAUGGGAAUAUCAUAGCAAUUGAUCACAGCAGUGUUAUCCAGAGUCAAUAUGGAACAUGUGAAUUUGAUGAGGUUCUUGAUGCUACUAAUAUGUGUGUAAUUCCAGGUGAGUUACGGUGGAUGGAUCCAGCAUAGUUGUGCAGGUGUAGCGGUGACACGACAUUUGCUCCUGUGACAAUAGCUCCGGUCUUAAUAUCUCAGGGGGCAUAGGGUUAGAGUUAGGAUUGUGAUAGAGUUUUUGGGUCAGAAUAAUGUUAAGAUAAGGAUUAGGGUUUAUUUAGUUUUGGAAGUAAGGUUUUAAGUUUGACUUUAUGUGCAGAUUUUCUAUCGGAGCAAUUGUCGUUGGAGAAAAUGUCAUGAAACCGGUGUAGCAGGAUUUCAUUUGGCUAGGGAGUGUCACAGGCCCAAUUCAUAAGCAAACAACAAAAUACUAUAGGAGAAAAGGUGAUUGCCUGAGUAGGGAAGGCGGGUUAGUUGAGCAUAGGGGCAAGUUAAGCCACCUGCCCCAGGACAAUAAUGAAUGAGUCAGACAUUGUGGUGGUGUCAUGUAUUGAUGACCCAUUGCAUAACCCCUAACCCCACCACAUUGUUUUCAACUUUGAAGCAAAAAGUACUUUUUUAGAGGGAAAAAUACAAAUUUCAGCCAAAAAAGUAAAAAAGGGUGUGAAAUAAAUAAGUGCUUUUUAUCCACACACGUCUUUAAAUAUAAUAAAGACAUAAGAACAACAUUGUUAGUCCAGGUAUGGAUUUCAUUCUUGUCAUAGUCUUUUACAUGAUGGAUCCAUAAGAAAUGUGUGAAUGCAAAAUUACAUUUAGUUUGGACUGGGGUAAGUUGAGCCAGCCAACAUGGGGCAAGUUGAGCCAUGGUAAUUCUUAUGGUAAUGUUUCUAUUAAAAAAAAAAAAAUUAAUAAGCCAUCGAUAUGCAUGCAGAAAGGAGCAAAUUUACAUUACUGAUCUUUUCCUUUAAGAGGAUGUAUUUAUAGAUAUAUUUGUAGAUAAUUAGCAAGUGAAAAGACUUUAAAUAAAAAAUUGACAUGCUGGUUCUUCCCCCAUACAUUUUGUACAUAGUUUUUGUGGCUCAACUUACCCCACAGAUGGGGAAAGUUGAGCCAUUUGACAUCUCUUUUUUCAAAGGUGACAAUGACUUUCAGUGUGGGGGUAGGAAGUUAUACAUAGGUGAAAAAUAUUUCAGAAGAAUUAAAUUUUAGGGCAAGAUUAUUUAUCAUAUCAAUUUUAACAUGCAAAAAGCAAAAAGUGUCACAACUUACCCUGCCUUCCCUUACUGUUCACACAACAAAUUAUGAUGUAGAAAAUGGACUGGAAUUGCUUCAAUAUUUUCAAUUCAAUUCAAUUUAUUAAUUAGAUUAAAAUCAUGUGAGUAGAUAUAUACAAUGUGAGGAUCAAACACCCUGGAAAGGCAGUUGCUUAAAAAAAGGGGAUCCAUUUUAGUGAUACAAAUGCAAAUACAGUUUUAAUGAAAACAACGAGUUAUAGUGGGUAUAUUACUCAAAACAAGUUACGAUACUUACAGUACAUGACAAAACAAAAAAUAUUACAACUCAAUUGAAUGAUUACAAAUCGUUUAUAAUAAUUUCAACAUAGUUCAUAUCCAUGAAUAAUAUAAAUAUUUUUUCAGGAAAAAAAAUAAUUCAAAAAAAAUUAAAGUUCUUAGCUGGUUUCAAUCGAUUGGAGCCCAUUCAAGAAUACGACUUGCUCAGAGAAUGCAAACAAAUUGGCCCAAAUUCACAAAGGUGGUUUUGAAAACCCACGGUUGAGUCCAUGGUUUAUGCAGAUUUCCUGUAUAAAUUACGCUUAUUUUACCGCGUAUGAUGAAAAAUGUCCAAUGCUGAUGCGCGCUUUUGCCACAGUGCGCCAAAUUGACACCUGUUGCCGUGGUUAUCCAUGCUAUUUUAUUAAUGAGUCCACUGUUUUUCGGGCCAAUGGCUCAUCGUGGUGACGUCACAAUGGAGGACGAUUCCCAAAACUUCUGCCUGUCCAUAGUUCUGGCAAGCACCCUCAGUACAGCUUUUCUGUUUCCUCUUCAGAGUUAUAAUCUCUAAACACCCUACAACAAAAAUUAACCUGAAACCACACUUCUCCUAUACUGAUCCAAUUAAGAAUUUAAGGAAUGAAUUUUUGUCUCAUCUGCAUAGCAGAGUGAGAUUAUAGGCGCCGCUUUUCUGGCAGCGACGGCGUCAACACCAAAUCUUAACCGAAGGUCAAUUUUUGUCUCGCCUGCAUAGCAGAGCGAGACUAUAGGCGCCGCUUUUCCGACGGCGGCGGCGGCGGCGUCAACAUCAAAUCUUAACCUAAGGUUAAGUUUUUUAAAUGACAUCAUAACUUAGAAAGUAUAUGGACCUAGAUCAUGAAACUUGGACAUAAGGUUAAUAAAGUAUUACUGAACAUCCUGCCUGAGUUUCAGGUCACAUGACCAAGGUCAAAGGUCAUUUAGGGUCAAUGAACUUAGACCAUGUUGGGAAAAUUAUUUUCAAAAUCUUAACCGAAGGUUAAGUUUUUGAAAUGACAUCAUAACUUAGAAAGUAUAUGGACCUAGUUCAUGAAACUUGGGCAUAAGGUUAAUCAAGUAUUAGUGGACAUCCUGCUCGAGUUUCAGGUCACGUGACCAAGGUCAAAGGUCAUUUAGGGUCAAUGAACUUUGGUCAAGUUGGGGGUAUUUGUUGAAUUACUAUCAUAACUUUGAAAAUAUAUGGAUCUAGUCCAUGAAACUUGGACAUAAGGUUAAUCAAGUAUUAGUGAACAUCCUGCUUGAGUUUCAGGUCACAUGACCAAGGUCAAAGGUCAUUUAGGGUCAAUGAACUUUGGCCAAGUUGGGGGUAUUUGUUGAAUUACCAUCAUAACUUUGAAAAUUUAUGGAUCUAGUUUAUGAAACUUGGACAUUAGGUUAAUCAAGUACCACUGAAUAUCCUGUGCGAGUUUCAGGUCACAUGACUAUGGUCAAUGGUCAUUUAAGGUCAAUGAACUUUGGCCGUGUUGGGGGUAUUUGUUAAAUUACCAUCCUAACUGAAAGUUUAUGGAUCUAGUUCAUAAAACUUGGACAUAAGAGUAAUCAAGUAUCACUGAACAUCCUGUACGAGUUUCAGGUCACAUGACUAUGGUCAAAGGUCAUUAAAGGUCAAUGAACUUUGGCCGUGUUGGGGGUAUUUGUUGAAUUACCAUCCUAACUCUGAAAGUUUAUGGAUCUAGUUCAUAAAACUUGGGAUAUAAGAGUAAUCAAGCAUCACUGAGCAUCCCCUGUGAGUUUCAGGUCACAAAACCAAGUCAAAGGUCAGUUAAGGUCAAUAAACUUAGGCCAUGUUGGGGUAAUUGUUGAAGUGCCAUCAUAACUUUGAAAGUUUAUGGAUAGAGUGAAUGAAAUGUGGACAUGGGUGUAGUUGACAGUCUUAAGUCUCUGUUCAAAUGUAAUUUAUGGUCAAUGAACGUGGUAUUAUGUCAUUAUAUGAAUGAUGUUUUUUUUAAUGAUUAUUUUAUAGUAGUUUUCAAAGUUAGCACUGCUGCUAUAUUAAAUUGCGUAAUGCAGGCGAGACUGCCAGAGGCGUUCCACUUGUUUGAAAUGAUAGCAUAACUUAGUAUAUGGACCUAGUUCAUGAAACUUGGACAUAAGGUUAAUCAAGUAUUACUGAACAUCCUGCCCGAGUUUCAAGUCACAUGACCAAGGUCAAAGGUCAUUUAGGGUCAAUGAACUUUGGCUAAGUUUGGGGUUGAAUUACCAUCAUAACUUUGAAAGUUUAUGGAUCUGAUUCAUGAAACUUGGACAUGAGUAAUCCAGUAUCAUUAACAUCCUGUGCGAGUUUCAGGUCACAUGACCAAUGUCAAAGGUCAAUGGACUUUGGCCAUGUUGGGGGUAUUUGUUGAAUAACCAUCUGUCAGAAGCUUAUUCAAACUCCCCUUAGCCUAUUUGGUUGAGUAACUCCUUAAUUUGUUUAUGAAUAGACCAAACCUAACUGAUAGAGUAGGCAACCCCUCACUGAGUUUGAUAGCUAUUGUGUGUGUGCAGUGCAUAGGGCAAUGCACAUGAGGGUGACCAGAUUUCACAAAAUGAAAUACGGGACAAUCAACAAAAAACAGAUCAACAAAGAAGGCUACACAGUGUUAGACUUGUGAAAAAAAAUAUAAAGAAUUGGAAGGGAGGGUGAACGAAAGAAUGAAGGAAAGAAAAAAAAGACGAAAGAAAAUAUAUGAAUGAGAAGAAAGAAAAAAAUGAAGGAGAAAUGAAGGAAAAAAUAGAAUACAAGAAAUUUAGAAUAAAAAAGGAUGAAAGAAAGAAUAAAAGAGAGAAAAAAAGUUUCCGUUAUUCUUUGAAUUGAAUAUAGAAAGAAAGAAAAAAAAGGAAGGGAAGAUGAAUAAAUGUGUGAAAGACAAAAUAAAG